GGGGGGGUAGCUCAGAUGGGAAAGCGCGUCGUUCGCAAUGACGAGGUCGGGAGUUCGAUCCUCCUCCUCUCCACCA
rnacentral:tRNA from 1 species